ACGGGUGAGUAACACGUAGGUAACCUGCCUAUGAGACUGGGAUAACUAUCGGAAACGAUAGCUAAGACCGGAUAACUGGUUUUCUCGCAUGAGAGAAUCAUGAAACACGGAGCAAUCUGUGGCUUAUAGAUGGGCCUGCGGCGCAUUAGCUAGUUGGUAGGGUAAUGGCCUACCAAGGCGACGAUGCGUAGCCGACCUGAGAGGGUGACCGGCCACACUGGGACUGAGACACGGCCCAGACUCCUACGGGAGGCAGCAGUAGGGAAUCUUCCGCAAUGGACGCAAGUCUGACGGAGCAACGCCGCGUGAGUGAUGAAGGUUUUCGGAUCGUAAAGCUCUGUUGCCCUAGACGAACAGCAAGGAGAGUAACUGCUCUUUGUGUGACGGUAUAGGAGAAGAAAGCCCCGGCUAACUACGUGCCAGCAGCCGCGGUAAUACGUAGGGGGCAAGCGUUGUCCGGAAUUAUUGGGCGUAAAGCGCGCGCAGGCGGUCAAUUAAGUUGGGUGUUUAAGCCCGGGGCUCAACCCCGGUUCGCAUCCAAAACUGGUUGACUUGAGUGUAGGAGAGGAAAGUGGAAUUCCACGUGUAGC
rnacentral:rRNA from 1 species